rnacentral:lncRNA from 1 species
ACUCACAAAGAGCCGAGGGGAGAGAGGGUGCGCAGACGGCCAGCCGGGCCGCGCCAGGGACAUACUGGAGACAGGAAGUGGCUGAGAGGGGGAGAGAGUUGGAGAGAGACGGCCGCGGAGGACACGGGGACGGGAAAGUCUGAGAGACGGGGAGAGCCUGACCCGGCGGGACACAGGCAGAAAGAAACACGCGAGCCAGACAGACGCAGAAGAAACGUGCCUGGUACUGGAUAGGAACUUCAUGGAAUGGAGCUAAUGGGCCGUAGGGCAGGUUUGAGUCGUGCCACCCUGGAGCAGAAGGUGGAGGGUAGGGAUAAGGGGGUGGAGCACCUGAUUCCAAUCUUGCCACAGGGAAGAAGAGUCUGUGAAGAACAUUCCUUAGGGUCUUUGGCUGGGCUCUGGGAUGGAUGCCAUGGGAGUACCUUUACUUAAGCUCUAAAGUUACCAAUGGAGAGACUGGGACUCAAAGAGGAACUUGAUUGGACCCCAGAGAGGUGAGGGGUAAGGGCUAGAACCUCACACAUGCUGGUUUUGCUGCUGCCUGGCAGGCCCAUGGGAAGAACUUUAGAGGUUCCAAGGAAUUGGAAAAGGGUCACAAGAUGGGUGGCCAAACUCCCAGCUCAGGCUUGAUUCCUACUCUCAAUGUGGGGAUAGUGGAGAAGGGGGCUGCAGGAAGGGCUGAGAAAAGCUGAGAAUGAGAAGUUAUACAGGAGGUAGCUUGGUGGGAGUGAAACAAAAAUGAGUGGUUCAUGGGCCAGCCAGGCAUCCUGAUUUCCAGCUCACAGCAGCAGGAGCUUCAGAGAGGAAGAAGGAGAGGAGGAGAAAGCCAGGUUGAUGUUAGUAAAGGUCAAACAAUUUCAGGAGCACCUCUGACCUCCCUCCACACAGGUUUUCUUACCUUGACUAUGCAGAGGGUGGUCCAUCUUGGCACUGAAGAUGGAACCCCCUCUUCCAUGGUCUGGGGUGACCCCAUGCCUGUAACUGAAUGUGCUCAGAUCCUUGGGGUGCGGGGACUGUAGGGGGAGGAUUUGAAGGUGUGGGACUGUCCUGGCUGGAGACCACUGGGUCAGGAGAACUCCAGUAGAGGGUUUGGGUGCUGGGAACCAGGAAGAGUGGGGGAAGGGGCAGAGCCAACUCCAGAGGCGGAUCUCCUGGCUGAGGACAGAGGGUGUAUUGUCCAAGCUGGAGGUUGCUGUAGCUGGGCGGGGAGCAGCUCAGCUCGUCUCUUCCAAAUUUCUUUUGGGGGAGGGUAAGGGAAGGCAAGCCCCCCUUUACUUGUGGCCCUGGGGGCUACAAUGGUUGCUGAGAAACAAGGCUUAUUUGACAAAUAAUGCUUCCCAGGAGCAGAUGUGUAGCUCUCUCACUUCCUGAGAAACCAGAUGCUGUGAGCUCGCUUAGCACUUGAGGCGACGCCCUCAGCACGAACUGGGACCCUAGUGCCUUGGGAUCCGGAGUAUAGUGCUUGAUUCUAUUGAGAAGAAACGAGGCUAAUGUGGACUGGGAGACACACGGGACCUAAUCAGCCUCAAGUUAGCCCUUUUGAAACCUCAUUAUUGCACAGCUGAGAGUGGCUUGAAACAAAGGCUUGGAGAAUAGAGAGCAGCAUACUUGCUUGCAGAACUGAACUUCUGUAACACAACGAGAGUGACAGGAUAAUGAAGGCCCUGAAUUAUCACAUCAAAACCCAAGACACAGGAUACUGAUCCUUUGGCAAUGGGGGAUGACAGUCAGAUGACACCCACUUGCUUGCUCAUCAGCAUUGUCCAUUGGAGAGGAGCUAGGGAAGAGGGUCAGAGGCACAUGCGAUCUUACUAUAGUCUCAUACCACCUCUACACCUUGCAGAAGGGAUGAGAACAAAGGAAGACAGAAACCAGGAAAAAGCUAAACUUCUUUCGCUAUUUCAGUAAAGACCAAUGUCUUAUUUCCAAACACUUUGUAUUCCAAAUGGAAAGAAGUCCAACGGCAAAAAGUUUAGAAUACUAAGAAUUUUUAAUUCUUAGUAAGAAUACUUAGAAUUCUAAGAAUUUUUCUUAGAAUGAAAAAUUGGGAGCAGCCUUCAACACUUACGGAAGCUGGAUUUUCCUCAGGUUUCUUUGGCUCAGGUGCAGAUCUGGAGUCUUGAUCCUUUUUGCCAUCUUUCCUGCAGAGACGUAAGCAUAAAACCAUGUCUUUAGGAAAGGACUCGCCUAAUACAAACAUGUGUAUGCAUGCAGUUUCAAGGCACUGAACAGGCACCUCUAGUCAACAGUCCUUGUUGUCUGGAUGAUGUAUUACUUCUAGAUUUUCAGAAUCUUAACUGUCUACGUUGGCUGACUUUAGUUUGCUCACAAUGAGCGAUCUGGCAGUGCUCUGAGAACCAAGAACUUAAUUUCUUAAUUACACAAACAUGUGGAUCAGAGGAAAGAUGAGAAAGAGAACAAGCAUACCUAUCUGACUCCUUCCAGUGGUCUCUGUUCCCUCCGUCGCCUGGACCACGGCUAGAGUUCCCAGUUUGGCCUUUUGGGGCAUUCAUCCCAUCUACUUUAUUUUCAUCUGCUUGGGCAGUAAUGUAAACAAAUUAAAGGCAAGUAAAAGUAUCAAUGUCCCUCUCCUAAGAUUUCCCUUAAGCUGAAGAAAAUUGUGCCCACAUGUACUGAGGGAAACUAACCUCACCCCAACCCAGACUUCCUUCCUGAAGCCCUUCUUUCCACAUCCUCUACAGCACACAAAAAUACAAAAAACAAACAAAAUCCACUAAAAAGUUCCAUGUAGGGAUAUGCCAUCAUGAAAAGCAAGCUGGAAAUAAAGAUUAUGACGCUCUGUAGUGACCUUGGUUAAUUUCCUUCCGAUUUUUUUCUCCCCGUCAAAGAAAUGUUCUACCAGGAAAGGGCAGGGUUUCAUACUUUCUCCAAAGAGGCCACUCCUCCCUCUACUGGCAAGAAAAGGUAGAUAACCCAAUAAUUCUUUUUUUUUUGAGACAGAGUCUUGCUCUGUCGCCCAGGCUGGAGUGCAGUGGGGCCAUCUUGGCUUACUGCAACCUCCGUCUCCCGGGUUCAAGCAAUUCUCCUGCCUCAGCGUCUCCCGAGUAGCUGGGAUUACAGGCAUGUGCCACCACACCCGGCUAAUUUUUUUUGUAUUUUUAAUAGAGACGGGGUUUCACCAUGUUGGUAAGGCUGGUCUCAAACUCCUGCCCUGUGAUCUGCCCGCCUUGGCCUCCCAAAGUGCUGGGAUUACAGGUGUGAGCCCCUGCGCCUGGCCAACCCAAGAACUCUUAACACGGUAUCAGGUGCGAGACACACUGCUCUUCAAAAUCUAAUUUUGGAGGCCUUUUUAUUUAGGCUUCUAGGUGAAAAACCUAUUUCCCAUACUAUGAGCUCACCUUUCCUUCCUGGUCCUUCCUCAGAUGGUUGAGCUGGAGCUACUUUUCCCCCACCACUAGAAGGAAAACAGGUAAUCACAUUCAUCAGUUGUUUCAGGGAGAAAACAACCAAGAAACAUAAUCAUCCUCCAAAUGCAGUGGGUAAGCUUUAUAGAAAACAAAAUCAUACUCAAUGUUAUGGAACAUUAAAAUAUGGGAAAGAUUACAAUGAAAGCAGUAAUUUGAACACUAAAGUGCCAUAUGCUUUCUAAUCAUCACAUCAUGCAGGAUUAGUAUUGCUAUUUUCUUUUCUUUUGGAGUCUUAACUCUGUCGCCCAGGCUGGAGUGCAAUGGCACAUCUCGGCUCACUGCAACCUCCGCUCUCAGGUUCAAGCAAUUCUCCUGCCUCAGCCUCCCGAGUAGCUGGGAUUACAGGUACCUGCCACCACGCCAGGCUAAUAGUGUUGCUAUUUUGCUUACAAAUGAGAAGACUUAAGAGAAAUGAAAGGAAGUUACCCCCUACCAUACUGCCAAUAUGUGGCAAAAGGGAAGCCUCUGACUUACAGUAUUUGCAGAUUUGUGCGGCAUUAGUACUCCCAUCAUAGCUGAUUUCAAGCUAUCAAAGUGGUGGAACUCCAGAAAAUGGAACAACUAGGUCUUAUGAGCCAGUUCCAGCACACUAAGAGACUAAAGCCAGCAUAACUUAUAAGGUGCUAUACAACGCUGGCAUCCCGUAGGAGAUCUUCCAUCAUUACAUCACAGUAUUUUAGAAUCUGCAGUUAACCAACUACUGUUUCCAAACUGACUCACCUUGUAGGGGACUGCUGCUCUGUGUCUGAGCUCUGAGAUCGAGCAGGAGGGUUAGAACUUCGCUUCACCCAAGCAUUCUCCUUUGGUGGAGGGGCUGGCAUUACCUUUAGGGGCUGAUCAGGUUUGGGAGGUUUAGAAGUUGGAGAGUGGCAAUCUUCCUCCUUAUUGAGUGUUUCAUUUUCUAGAGACUUCUCACUCUCUCUCCUUCGUGCAUCUGUGAAGCCAGAGUGAAAAUAUCAAAUUAUCAGGCUGCAGAUGCUCACGCAUCUACCAGGAUCUCAACAGUGUGGAAAAUGGUCCACAUCCAAGUUUUGGCUCCCAAAGAUGGAUUUAUCCCUAAACCAGUGGUUUACAAGUAUUUCCAGAACAAUGUCUUACUGAUGCACAGAGAAAUAGAAAAAAUAAUGACCAUGUAUACAACUUAAGGGACACCCAGCCAUGUGACCUUUUUAGGAAUGAGUAUCCUUUACAGCCUUUCUGCAUUCUCAAUGUUAAAAGUGUCUUGACCUGGAGAAUAUACAUAUGUGAAGAGGACCUACAAUGAAACCCCAAACUCUAGUAACCACUGCUCAACUUCAGCUUAAAACUCAACACACAUGGACUAUGAUGCAAUCAUAUUUAUGAAAAACCACCUACUGGCUGGGUGCAGUGGCUCUCGCCUGUAAUCUUAGGAUAUUGGGAGGCUGUUGGGGGCGGAUCGUUUGAGCCUAAGAGUUUCAGACCAGCCUGGACAACAUGGUGAAACCCCAGCUCUACAAAAAAUAGACAAAUUAGCUGGAUGUGGCAUGUGCCUGCAGUCCCAGCUACUAGAAAUGAUGAGGUGAGCUGUGAUCAUGUUGCUGCACUCCAGCCUGGCUGACAGAGUGAGACUCCAUCUCAAAAAACAACAACCUACACGUGCGUUUUUUAAAAAAUGCAGUUAAGUGUCUUCUAAAAACAAGGAGCCCCCAUUGGGAGGCUGAGGCAGGAUUGCUUGAGGCCAGGAGUUUGAGACCAGCCUGGGGAGUGUAGUGAGACCCCAUCUCUAAAAAAACAAAUUUUUUAAAUUUAGCCAGGCAUGGUUGCGUGCACCCGUCGUAUAACAGCUACUUGGGAUAUUGGGGCAAGAGGAUUGCUUGAGGCCAGGAGUUUGAGGCUGCAGUGAGCUAUGAUCGCACCACUGCACUCCAGCCUGGGUGAGAAUGAAACCCUGUCUUAAAAAUAAAAAACUAGGCCGGGCACGGCGGCUCACGCCCGUAAUCCCAGCACUUUGGGAGGCCAGGGCGGGCAGAUCACAAGAUCAAGAGAUGGAGACAAUCCUGGCCAACAUGGUGAAACCCCGUCUUUACUAAAAAUACAAAAAAUUAGCCAGGCCUGGUGGCAGACUCCUGUAAUCCCAGCUACUCGGGAGGCUUGGGCAGGAGAAUCACUUGAACCCGGGAGGCAGAGGUUGCAGUGUGCUGAGAUCAUGCCAUUGCACUCCAGCCUGGGCAAAAAGAGCGAAACUCCGUCUCAAAAUAAAUAAAUAAAAUACAAAAAUAAAAAAUAAAAAAAAUAGAAGGCCAGGCAUGGUGGCUCACGUCUGUAAUCCCAGCACUUUGGGAGGCCGAGACGGGUGGAUCAUGAGGUUAGGAGUUUGAGACCAGCCCGUUCAAAAAAUUAGUCGGGCAUGGUGGCGCUCACCUGUAAUCCCAUCUACUCAGGAGGCUGAGGCAGGAGAAUUGCUUGAACCAGGGAGUCAGAGGUUGCAGUGAGCCAAAAUCGUGCCACUGCACUCCAGCCUGGUAACAGAGCGAGACUCCAUCUCAAUAAAUAAAUAAAUGAAUGAAAUGCAAGUACAAAUCAAUUUAGAGGUGGGAGGAAAGACCUUAAAAAAUAUCACAGUGGCUGGCCCUUGGAAUCCCAGCACUUUAUGAGGCUGAGACCAGCCUGGGCAACAUGGGGAAACCAUCUCUACAAAAUUUUAGCUGGGUGUAGGCUGGGUGCGGUGGCUGACGCCUGUAAUCCCAGUACUUUGGGAGGCCGAGUCGGGUGGAUCAUGAGGUCAGGAGAUUGAGACCAUCCUGGCUAACACAGUGAAACCCCAUCUCUACUAAAAAUACAAAAAAUUAGCUGGGUGUGGUGGUGGGCACCUGUAGUCCCAGCUACUCGGGAGGCUGAGGCAGGAGAAUGGCAUGAACCCGGGAGGCAGAACUUGCAGUAAGCCGAGAUCGCGCCACUGCACUCCAGCCUGGGCGACAGAGCGAGACUCGGUCUCAAAAAAAAAAGAAAAUAAAUAAAUAAAAAAUUUAGCUGGGUGUAGUGGUGCAUGCCUACAGUUCCAGCUACUAGGGAGGCUGAGGGCUGAGGGAGGUGAGGCUACAGUGAGCCAUCAUCAUGCCACUGCACUCCAGCCUGUGUGACAGAGUAAGACCCUGUCUCAAAACAAAAUACAAAAAAAACACAUCAUGGUAAGGGAAGGGAGGUAUUACAAUUGAACCAUUUAGGUUUCCAAAACACUAAAAGUGCUUGAUCAACCAGUAAUAACACUGCUUGAGAACACUGCUCUGGUGAUGAUAACAUCAAAAAAGGCUGGUCUUGGGACAGCUCACAUGAAACUCCAAGCCGUUGACUGUUCUGAAUAAACAACAUUCAAAGAUGUCAAGACAUAAAAUGAAAAUAUACCAAAAAAAAAAAAAAAAAAAAAAGAGAGAGACAAACCUAACAACCAAGUAUACACUUCAGUGGUAGAUUAUUAAGCAGAUCAUCUAGGUCUACUCUGGUACCCAUUCCUCAGAUUCUUUGGAGCAGAAGAUAUGAAACUCCAAUCGGCCCAUGCAACCCAAAUAAAGAGUUCAUGACUGAAUUUAAAUAUUGCAGGGUCUCUGCAUAAUUUGGUUAUGGAUAGUUUAUGGAAAACGGCAAUAACACGAUACCCACCCUGGUCUGACUUACUUCUGCUAGAUGUGGUGGAGGUCCCAGUUUGUGAUGACUCACUUCCUGUCCUCGACCGUUCCCGUUCCUGAGUUUCUUCACUUCGCCAGCUUGGGUGUCUGUACGAGAGAUUCACAAAAUACACAUUAUGCCUGGCUCAGUGAAGGCCACCUUAGACCCAUGCUGACCCCUCAAGAACCAUCACUUACUUCAUCUAUAUGUGUAUAUGCAUAUAAAUUUAUCUUUCCCUCAAACUAUUUGAAAGCUACAGACAUUAAGACACACUUUGGCCCUAAAUACUUCAGCAAGAAUCAACUAAUAUGGUUAAGAACAGUAUCCUACAUAAUCUACAAUACUGCCCUUCUUUACUAAUCAACACAGUUCUACAAGCCACUCAUUACCAGGCCUAGUUUUUCAGGGCAAUUACUUAUUAUAGUAGGUCUCUAGCCUUUUAGAUACAAUACCAGCUUUUAAUAGUAAACACUUUUGUAAUGGACAGGGAACAACUCUUCAUUGUGUAAAACUGUCCCUAACACUGCAUACUGCCUAACACCCCUGGCCACAGCCCACUAAAUGCCCAUCAGUGACAACCACUAAUGUGAUAACGACACAAAUUUCCCAAAUGCCCCUGGGGAUGUAAUGCCCCCAUUACGAACCACCGGAUUCCUAGAUGGGAUAUCCAUCAAGACAACACACCUCUCCCGAGGCCGUCGUUCUAGUUUUGGCUCAUCCAGCUGACGCUGCAACUUCUCUUGUUCCUUCUGUAGCCGUUCUUCUACUUCUCUUUCUCUAGCAGCUGUGUCAACAGGCUUUGCCCCUCCAAAGAUAGAAGCAGCUCGAGUGGACUGGGAGGUACUAGCAGAGGAAUCAUCUUCCUUAGGAGUACUCCGAGGCUUUAGAUUCAGUUUGGGUCUUUGGGGGGGACCUAAGUUAAAUGAAACUUUAAGUAAUAGUUUUCCAAUCACCAGAAGCUGAUGGCUGAAAGCCAGAUUUCUCAGAUAUAACUCCUAUGAAAUGCUACAUGAGAUUCAAGUUAGUGGCCUAACCAAUCCACAGAAGGCAAAUAGAUCAUUAGAAAACAGGUAGUUUAGGCUGGGCAUGGUGGCUCACGCCUGUAAUCCCAGCACUUUGGGAGGCCGAGGCGGGUGGAUCACAAGGCCAAGAGAUCGAGACUAUCCUGGACAACAUGGUGAAACCCCGUCUCUACUAAAAAUACAAAAAUUAGCUGGGCGUUGGGGCGCGCACCUGUAGUCCCAGCUACUCAGGAGGCUGAGGCAAGAGAAUUGCUUGAACCUGGGAGGCAGAGGUUGCAGUGAGCCAAGAUCGAGCUACUGCACUUCAGCCUGGUGACAGAGCAAGGCUCCGUCUCAAAAAUAAAAAAAAGAAAAAAAAAAAAGAAAAUAGGUAGCUCAGGCUGGGCGUGGUGGCUCACGUCUGUAAUCCCGAUACUUUGGGAGGCCGAGGCGGGUGGAUCACCUGGGGUCGGGAGUUCGAGACCAACACAACCAACAUGGAGAAACCCCGUCUCUAGUAAAAAUAAAAAAUUAGCCAGGCAUGGUGGUGCAUGCCUAUAAUCCCAGCUACUCGGGAGGCUGAGGCAGGAGAAUCGCUUGAACCUGGGAGGCAGAGGUUGUGGUGAGCCAGGAUCGCACCACUGCACUCCAGCCCUCCAGGCUGGAAAACAAAAGCAAAACUACGCCUAAAAUAAAUAAAUAAAAAUAAAUAAAAAUAAAAAUAGGUGGCAUAAAUAACCAAGUUCUGGCCGGGCGCAAUGGCUCACGCCUGUAAUCCCAGCACUUUGGGGGGCUGAGGCGGGCGGAUCACCUGAGAUCAGGAGUUCGAGACCAGCCUGACCAAUAUGGAGAAACCCCAUCUCUACUAAAAAUACAAAAUUAGCCAGGAGUGGUGGCACAUGCCUGUAGUCCCAGCUACUCAGGAGACUGAGGCAGGAGAAUCGCUUGAACCCACCGGGGAGGCGGAGGUUGCAGUGAGCUGAGAACACACCACUGCACUCCAAACUGGGCAACAAGUGCCAAACUCCAUCUCAAAAAAAAAAAAAAACAAAAAAACCCAAGUUCAAUUACUCUUCUACCACAUCCAUGAUGUAGUACAAGACCACAGGAAAGACUAAAAAUGGUAAACAUUUAAGUAAUAAAUUAAUAAUCUAUCAAGACUUCUUUUAUAUGGGAAGAAAUUUUUGACCAUCAUUAAACUACUGGAUGAAAGUAUCUUGCUCCGAAAUCUGCAUGUUAAGAACUAAUACAAUAUGAUAGGGAAGAUUCUAGUUCUUUAUUUUUUUUGAGACAGUCUCGCUCUGUCACCCAGGCUGGAGGGCAGUGGUGUGAUCUCAACUCACUGCAACCUCUGCCUCCCUGAUUUUCCUGCCUCAGCUUCCUCAGUAGCUGGGAGUAUAGGCACGUGGCACCAUGCCCAACUAAUUUUUGUAUUUUUAGUAGAGAUGGGGCUUCACCAUGUUGGCCAGGCUGGUCUUGAACUCCCGACCUCAAGUGAUCCGCUUGCCUUGGCUUCCCAAAGUGCUGUUACAGAUGUGAGCCACCACGCCCAGCCAGGAAGACUCUAGAUCUUAUACCCUUGUCUCUGUGUAUAAUAUAAAUUUGGCAGGUGGUUCAUGGGGCAAAGCAUGUAACACUGAACAAAUAAACUCUUAAGGCAGGCAGUCUGAUUUCUUCCUCAAUUCAAGUUGUCAGAACACUUUCAAGAGAAACCUAAGUGUUUCAAGGAAGUUAAAUUUCUAAAAAUGAUUGUUUGUCCUAAAUAUUUUGGAUAUACAAAAGAUACAGAGAAUAUAAAGAAAGCCUAUGUAUACAAUCACCUGGCUUAAGUAAUGUAACCUUAACAAAGAGGUAAAACCUCCUGAUGACAUGACCAGCUGUACUCUGUCCUCUAAAUAACCACUAGAUGGUGACUUCAUCAUGCCCACACUUGAUUUUAUACUUUUACUACAUAUGCACAUAGUACCUGUAGAUAGAGGGUACUGUUUAACAAGAUCUAAAUUUUCUACGAGGGCUUUAAGCCGACAGUUUAUAUAUGUUCCUAAACAUAUUUUAAAUCUGUGUUAUAGCCCCGUCACUUUUGUAAGAUAAAAUAGGGGCUCAGAAAAAGUAGCUCAUUUAAGAUAUUAAUAAAAGAACGCAGCCGGGCACAGUGGCUCACGCCUGUAAUCCCAGCACUUUGGUAGGCCGAGGGCAAGUGGAUCACUUGAACUUGGAAGUUUAAAACCAGCCUGGGCAAUGUGGAGAAACCCCAUCUUUAGAAAAAAUAUCAAAAUUAGCCAGGCAUAUGGCACGCACCUCUAGUCCCAGCUACUGGGGAGGAUGAGGAAGGAGGAUCACUUGAGCUCAGAAGGCUGAGGCUACAGUUAACCAUGAUUAUGUCACAGCAAUUCUAGCCUGGGCGACAGAGUGAGAUCCUGUCUCAAGAAGAAAAAAGUAAAGGCUGGGCAAACAGUGAAGGCCCGUGUAUGUCAGAGGUAUAGAGAAAGGGCUAUGUUCCAGGCCAUGGGGAAACUAGACAGGUCUAAACAGGAGAAUAAGGUAAUUAGAUCUUAUGCCAGAAAGACAACUGACAACUGGGGCCAAUGUGAAGAACGGAGCAAGAAAGGGAACUCUGUUAGGAGGCAAUGGCCAGUAACGUGGGUGCAGCAAUGAGGCCUCAACGAAGGUAGCAGCAGCAACUAGAGACAAGAGGGCAAAUCUUAGAGGGAAUGGGGGGGUAAGAGCAAGAAGAGAAAUAAAAAAUUAGGUAUGCAGCUCUUGGUGGGGAGGUAAGGGACAGUGUGAGAGAGGAAAAGGUCAGAAGUCAAGGAGAACAUGAGGCCCACAUCUGAGCCUCCACUUUUCUAACUUGUAAUUUUACCUAUACCACACAGAAGUCUUAGAAUUAAACAAUACUUGUACAAGCCCUCAGCUCACUGAUGGAACAGAGUAAAUGGUUAAUAAAUGUUAGCUAUUAUUUUUAGGCUUCUUGCUUGAGGAAAUCGCUUUUAAGAACGUAGUUUUUUCACUGGGCGCAGUGGCCCACGCCUGUAAUCCCAGCACUUUGGGAGGCCGAGGCGGGCGAAUCACAAGGUCAAGAGAUCCAGACCAUCCUGGCCAACAUGGUGCAACCCCGUCUCUACUAAAAAUACAAAAAUUAGCCGGGCGUGGUGGCAAGCCCAGCUACUUGGGAAGCUGAGGCAGGAGAAUCACUUGAACCUGGGAGGCAGAGGUUGCAGUGAGCCGAGAUCGCGCCAUUGCACUCUAGCCUGGGCAACUAGAGAGAGACUCCGUCUCAAAAAAAAAAAAAAAAAAAAAAAAAGAAUAUAAUUUUUUAAAACCUAUUUCCUAUUUUAUUAUUUUUUAGAUGGGGUCUCACUAUGUUGCCCAAGCUGAAAUGAGACCUUGGCUAACUGCAGCCUUGACCUCCCAGGCUCAAGCGACCCUCCUACCUCAGUCUCCUAAGACACGGGGACUACAGGCACAUGCUACCACGCUCAGCUAACUUUUAUAUUUUUUGCAGAGAUGGGGUCUCACUAUGUUGCCCAAGCUGAAAUGAGACCUUGGCUAACUGCAGCCUUGACCUCCCAGGCUCAAGCGACCCUCCUACCUCAGUCUCCUAAGACACGGGGACUACAGGCACAUGCUACCACGCUCAGCUAACUUUUGUAUUUUUUGCAGAGAUGGGGUCUCACUAUGUUGCCAGGGCUUGUCUUGAACUCCUGGACUCAAGUGAUCCUCCUGCCUUGGCCUCUCAAAGUGCUGGAAUCACAAAUGUGAGCCACCAUGGCUGGCCUAAGUUUUUUUUAAAAAAAACAAACAUUGAAUUAUUAUUAUUAUUUUGAGGAAGGAGUAAAGACUUCACCAUUUUCUGAGGGAGAAGGAAAGACCUCACUGCAAUAGAAUUGCCAUAUGGCUCUGAUGAAUUCUGUCAUCUCACUGUGUUUUAUUAGUUGUCCAGAUCGAUUUUCCUUUCUUGGGGAAUCACAGGAGAUGAUGGAUAUAAAGCCAUUGCCACAAAGUUUAGGACUAACACAAAGAUGUUAAAGAUAGGAAAAAUUUGGCCGGGCACGGUGGCUCAUGCCUGUAAUCCCAACACUUUGGGAGGCCAAGGCAGGCGGAUCACGAGGUCAAGAGAUUGAGACCAGCCUGGCCAACAUGGUGAAACCCUGUCUCUACUAAAACUACAAAAAUUAGCUGGGCAUGGUGGCGUGCACCUGUAGUCCCAGCUACUCGGGAGGCUGAGGCAAGAGAAUUGCUUGAACCUAGGACGCAAAGGUUGCAGUGAGCUGAGAUCAUGCCACUGCACUCCAGCCUGGCAACAAACAGAGCAAGACUCCGUCUCAAAAAAAAAAAAAUAAAAUAAAAAAAGGAUAGAAAAAAUUCUGGGCCAGAUACCAUAACCUUUUAUAUGACAUCACUGAAGUUAGAACACAAAUGGUGGCCAUUUAUUAGUAUUUUAUAACAGGUUAGAUUUGUAACACAGUUUACAUUUUAUAUCUUAUAGUAUUAGGGGCAUAAUUUUAGAAUAGGUGCACCAAAAUCUCACCUUUAUAAUUAAUGAACAUCAAUUAUUGUGGUAUAAUGGUACAGAAAGCAAUCCUUUUUUUUUUUUGAGACAGUCUCACUGUCGCCCAGGCUGGAGUGCAGUGGUGCGAUCUCAGCUCGCUGCAACCUCUGCCUCUGGGCUCAAGCAAUUCUCCUGCCUCAGCCACCCGAGUAGCUGGGAUGAUAGGUAUGUGCCACUACGGCCACCUAAUUUUUGUAUUUUUAGUACAGACGGGGUUUCACCAUGUUGGCUAGGCUGGUCUCGAACUCUUGACCUCAAAUGAUCUGCCCACCUUGGCCUUCCAAAGUGCUGAGAUUACAGGUGUGAGCCACUGCACCUGGCCUUAAUGCUUCGUUUUUAACCCCAUAGUACCAAUUAUGGGCUACAGGACUAUGUUUAAUCUGAAUUUCAUUUCCCUUACUUGGAAAAUGGAGCUAAAACCAUCUGUUUUAAGUGUAAUUUACUGAGAUCACAACAUAACAGUAUCUGGCAACUUUUUUUUCCAUUUCUACUGUUUAUUCAAUAAAUUUUAACUGAAAAAUCUAUCUGUGAAGGCAUAUGAGAUGAAAACAAUUCGACUGCUGUGUUUCCACUGAUGUCAUCCUUAGCCAAUGCUUUUUUUUUUUUUUUGAGAUGGGGAGUCUCACUCUGUCACCCAGGCUGGAGUGCAGCGGCGCCAUCUCCACUCACUGCAAGCUCUGCCUCCCGGGUUCCCACCAUUCUUCUCUCUCAGCCUCCCUAGUAGCUGGGACUACAGGUGUCUGCCACCACACCUGGUAGAGACGGGGUUUCACCAUUAGCCAGGAUGGUCUCGAUCUCCUGACCUUGUGAUCUGCCCACACCUGGCCAGCCAAUGCUCUUUCUACUAUGCUUUGCUGCUUCCUGUACAAUGUGCAAAUUAUAUUUGUGCCCAACUCAGUAGUUCGUAACACAAUCACAAAUUUUCCGUAGUUUUCCCAGUUUCUGCUCCAUGAAGUACGUAAAAAGAAAACUAUUACCUCUAUCAUCACGCCUAUAAUCAUCCCGAGAGUAAUCAUCUCUGGAGCUCCACGACCGAUCAUCCCGUCUGUCAUAUCGGUCUUCAUAGCGGUCCCCGCCUCCUCUGUAGUCAUCAUCCCUGCGAUACCCACUGCCAAAUGCUCUUCUGCCACUGCCUAUCCGGGAAUCAUAGCCUGUAAAUAUAUCCCAAAUUAUAAUCAUCACAGCGGAGGGGGAAAAAAAAAAGGCAAAGUUACUGAAAGAGCAAUUCGACAUGUUUUACAAUUACCUCUAUCAUAGUCUCUGCUGCCUCGGUCAUCAUAGCGAUCCCGGCCACCAUAUCGAUCCAUAUCCCGGCGUGGGCCAUCCCGAUACCCAUCCCGAUACCCAUCCCGAUACCGGUCUGAAUCAUAACGAUCUCGAUACUCUAGAGGAAACAGACAAGUAACACCAUCCCCUUUUCUCUGACACCAUUAAUAGAAACACGGUAAGCUAUCAGUCCAAUUUGGAAGAAUCUGUUUAUUUAAAUUUUCUAUCUGAUUUCUUCAAAAAGUUUCCCUGGUGAAAUAAUUGUUGCUCAGCUAAUAAUUUGGGAAGGGUGGGUUGGAAAUUAAAAAAUCCCUAAAUAUUCCAUAAUGAAUUUCCAGAAGGAGAAGAGGUUUACAUGCAAAAACAAAAAACAAAACAAAGCACAAGACACUAAAACAAUACAGUUGGGAAUCUCCCAUGUUUGAUCCCAAAGACCACUUAUUUUUUAAUUAAAAAAAUUUUUUUAGCUGGUCACGGUGGCUCAUGCCUGUAAUCCCAGCAGCACUUUGGGAGCCCGAGGUGGGCAGAUCACGAGUUCAAGAGAUCGAGACCAUCCUGGCCAACAUGGUGAAACCCCGUCUCUACUAAGGAUACAAAAAUUAGCUGGGCGUGGUGACGCACACCUGCAGUCCCAGCUACUUGGGAGGAUGAGACAAGAGAAUGGUGUGAACCCGGGAGGCGGAGGUUGCGCUGAGAUCAUGCCCCCGCACUCCAGCCUGGCGAGAGAGUGAGACUAUGUCUCAAAAAAAAAAAAAAAAAAAAUUUUUUUUUUUUUUGAGAGACAGUCUCUCUCUGCUGCCCAGGCUGGUCUUGGACUCCCGGGCUUAAGCAAUCCUCCAGCCUUGGUCUCCCAAAGUGCUGGGAUUAUAGGCCUGAGCCGUAACACCCAGCCUCAAAGAUCACUUUAAGAGGCAAACAAAAUGAGAAACAAUAUAUGCAACAUAUGACUAACAGGACAUAAUUUUCUAUUGAAUUUUAGGAGCUUAAAUCAAUUUCUGCACUGCUGAUCAUAAUUUUAAAUGGUACAAAUACACUUUGGGAGGUUGAGGUUGGUGGAUUGCCUGAGCUCAGGGGUUUGAGACCAGCCUGGGCAACAUGGUGAAACCACAACUCUAUCAAAUAUACAAAAAAUUAGCCGGGCAUGGUGGUGCAGGCCUGUGGUCCCAGCUACUUGGGAGGAUGAGGUGGAAGGAUCACUUGAGCCAGGGAGGCAGAGGUUGCAAUGAUCCAAGAUUGUGCCAAGGCACUCCAGCCUGGGUGACAGAGUGAGACUUCCUCUCAAAAUAAAUAAAUAAAUCAAUAAAUUAGUAUAAAUACUGAAAGUUGUAUUAGAACUAUGCAUGAAAAGAUUUGAAGUCAUGUAUACCCUUCUUGACCAACAAUUUAAUUUCUUGAAAUUCACUGAGGAAAUAAUUGGAUGUGUGAUAAAGAUACAUGUACAAAGACAUUCAUUGCAAUGUUGUUUAUGUUAUAAACUAUAUUUUACACACACAUGUGCAUUUCAGUAUCAGAGGACCCUAAAUACUAGAAAUCUGUAUAAAGAAACGUAGUAGCUCAGAUAGCAAACUGUGGGUAGCGUUAUGUUGUUUGUAAAAGGGAUAGCUGCUAUUUAGCUCCAGCUGACUGUUGCUAGGAUCUUCCAAUUUUCUGAGAGAAGCUGGCAACCCAGAUUUUAAAGUUAAAAAAAAAAUCUGAAUUUCUAAAUAUAAAUUAACUAACUAAAACAACCUACACGUUUUAAGAGCUGAUAAUUUAUGUAUGGGGGACAAACAGGGAUCUUUUUCUUUCUCUUUUUUUUUUGAGACGGAGUCUCACUCUGUCGCCCAAGCUGGAGUGCAGUGGCACAAUCGCGGGCUCACUGCAACCUCCACCUCCCGGGUCCAAGCGAUUCUCUUGCCUCAGCCUCCCCAGUAGCUGAGGUUACACGUGUCCGGCUAAUUUUUUUUUUGUAUUUUUAGUAGGGACAGGGUUUCACCGUGUUAGCCAGGAUGGUCUCAAUCUCCUGACCUCAUGAUCCGCCCGCCUCCGCCUCCCAAAGUGCUGGGAUUACAGGCGUGAGCCACCAUGCCCGGCCAGGGAUCUUUUUCUUGUGGCUGCUGUCUUUUAAAUAAUGAUUUCAUUUUGGAAACCACAUAAUUUUUACUGACCAGACAUAACAUUUCCUGGUAUUAUAAACUUUAUAUAUUAAAGAACAUGCUAAUGUUAGUAAAAUGAUUAUAGAAAUGAUCUAAAACAGGACACAUAUAAGAAAAUCAGCCCUGUGUUUAUUUUGAAAUGUGGUUUUAAUUUCUGGAGAUGCGAUUUACACUUAAUUUUAUUUGGGUAAUACUGAAAUUAUGAUAAGCUUGUGUUUCCUGAGAAAGCAUAGAUCCAUGCUGGAGAAAAGCAGCACAUGCUAUUACUGACAUUUCAUAGGAAUACUGAGUGUAAUACCCCCCAACACCCCUCGGGGUUCUCUUUUUGGCCUAAUGCUUGGGACAGGAGUCUCUGGAUCUUUAAUUCAGGUUAACUAAGUUGACUUUGGGGCAGCUUUGGAUAACAACAGCACACUCACUCGUUAUCCAUUCUGCUUGCUCUAAAUUCAAGGUUUCAGGUGAGAAAAGUCAUGCCCCUGGACUCAAAACAGGACCCUUGGUCUGAUUGUCUGCUUUUUCUUUCAAGAGCCAUUUCUUCCUGUUAACAAUAGAAUCUCUUGCAUAAAUGCUGAAGUUAAUCACCUCACAUAGUUCUCCCCAAGGCUUUGCUGUGUCACAAAGUCAUGUAAAAAGUCAGAUAUAAACUUGCUGAUUUAUCCUUCUUUCAGACCUAUGACCCAUUCUUCUUCCUUCUACAUCUUAAAAGGUUAAGGACUCUCCUCUAAAAGGAAUUAUACAUAUCCCUUACUGCUUCCCCAAUUAUAUUUAGUACAAAGCUCAAAAGGUACCUCACAAAAUUAAAAUGCUUGUGCUGGGAGCGCUGGCUCACACCUGUAAUCCCAGCAUUUUGGGAGGUCAAGGCAGGCAGAUCAUCUGAGGUAAGGAGUUAGAGACCAGCUGGCCAACGUGGUGAAACCCCAUCUCUACUAAAAAAUACAAAAAUUAGCCAGGUGUGGUGGUGCGCAUCUGUAAUCCCAGCUACUCAGGAGGCUGAGGCAUGAGGAACACCCUGAACCUGGCAGGCAGAGGUUGCAGUGAGCCAAGAUUGCCACUGCACUCCAGUCUGGGCAACACAGAGAGACUGUGUCAAAACAAAACAAAACAAAACAAAACAAAGAGCUUGUAAAUUUAAGUUGGUCUGUUUUUACUUAAACUAUUUCAAAC